GACGAACGCUGGCGGCAUGCCUAAUACAUGCAAGUCGAGCGGACUUGAUGAGAAGCUUGCUUCUCUGAUGGUUAGCGGCGGACGGGUGAGUAACACGUAGGCAACCUGCCCUCAAGCUUGGGACAACUACCGGAAACGGUAGCUAAUACCGAAUACUUGUUUUCUUCGCCUGAAGGAAACUGGAAAGACGGAGCAAUCUGUCACUUGAGGAUGGGCCUGCGGCGCAUUAGCUAGUUGGUGAGGUAACGGCUCACCAAGGCGACGAUGCGUCGCCGACCUGAGAGGGUGAUCGGCCACACUGGGACUGAGACACGGCCCAGACUCCUACGGGAGGCAGCAGUAGGGAAUCUUCCGCAAUGGGCGAAAGCCUGACGGAGCAAUGCCGCGUGAGUGAUGAAGGUUUUCGGAUCGUAAAGCUCUGUUGCCAGGGAAGAACGCUCAGGAGAGUAACUGCUCCUGAGGUGACGGUACCUGAGAAGAAAGCCCCGGCUAACUACGUGCCAGCCGCCGCAGUAAUAC
rnacentral:rRNA from 1 species